rfam:Ictidomys tridecemlineatus contig074026, whole genome shotgun sequence.
GGGGUUGUGGCUCAGCGGUAGAGCACUCACCUAGCACAAGGCCCUGGGUUCGAUCCUCAGCAUCCACA